GCUUUCGAAGUUCUUUGACUCCUAGAGUGGUGGAAGGUUUAAUUUGUACUCAAGAUUGGUUAAGAGUUGUUCGCGUGCCAAUUAAUGUUGAAGAGUGCAUCGAGAAUGCGGAACAAUUUGAGGCGGAUUUGGAUUGUCUUACCAAGGACAUUAUCAUUGGAAAAUAAACUUCAUUUUGUCGAAACUCCAAUUUUGUGAGAUUUUGUACCACGUGGAACGCAAGGCCGAAGAAGGAGAAGAAGAUCGAGCACAUGAAGGACAAGGUUGAUAUGUGAUCAGCCAAAAAUUGUAUUACAACUAGUUAAUUGGCUAAAUUGCUAGCUUGUAUAUUACUGGAAUAUGAGAAACUCGAUGUAUUUUGUGGGAUAUGGGGAUGCGAGAUGGUCGAAUUAUAUACUUGGUUGUUUUCUUCAAGGGGAGUCCAAAUUUUAUACAUGUUCCCAAUGAGUUUGGUCGAAGGAUGUGCUUGGUCCGGCCUUUUUGUUUCAGCAGAUAACUUAUCUAGACUUGCUUUUCUAAGGUUAAUUUUUAUGCAAAACAGGGUCCAAUGAAAACAGGGUCAACCCUGUUCCCAGACCAGAAAAACAGGGUGGGCCGGGAACAGGGUCCAAUGAAAACAGGGUAGGGAACAUGGUCCAAAAAAGGAGAACCGGU